ACUCAAAUGAAUAGACGGGGACCCGCACAAGCAGAGGAUGAUGUGGUUUAAUAUGACGCUACGCGUAGAACCUUACCGAGGCUUGACAUCCUUGGAACCCACUGGAAACAGAGGGGUGCCGCAAGGAGCCAAGUGACAGGUGCUGCAUGGCCGUCGUCAGCUCGUGUUGUGAAAUGUUGGGUUAAGUCCCGCAACGAGCGCAACCCUUAUCGUAUGUUGUAUUUUUCAUGCGAGACUGCCCGGGCCAACCGGGAGGAAGGUGGGGAUGAAGUCAGGUCGGCAUGGCCCUUACGCCUCGGGCCACACACGUCAUACAAUGGCCGGUACAACGCGCCGCGAAGUCGCGAGACGGAGCUAAUCGCACCAAAACCGGUCCCAGUUCGGAUUGGAGGCUGCAACUCGCCUCCAUGAAGUCGGAUUUGCUAGUAAACGCAGGUCAGCAUACUGCGUUGAAUACGUUCCCGGGUCUUGCACACACCGCCCGU
rnacentral:rRNA from 1 species